rnacentral:rRNA from 1 species
UGGGGAAUAUUCCGCAAUAGACGAAAGUCUGACGGAGCAACGCCGCGUGAGUGAUGAAGGUUUUCGGACUGUAAAGCUCUGUUGUUUAGGACGAAAGUGCCUGUUGCGAACAGUUACAGGUAUUGACGGUACUGAACGAGGAAGCCACGGCUAACUACGUGCCAGCAGCCGCGGUAAUACGUAGGUGGCAAGCGUUGUCCGGAAUUAUUGGGCGUAAAGAGCAUGUAGGCGGGAAUCUAAGUCUGUUGUGAAAAUGCGGGGCUCAACCCGGUAUGGCGAUGGAAGCUGGAUUUCUUGAGUGCAGGAGAGGAAAGGGGAAUUCCCAGUGUAGCGGUGAAAUGCGUAGAUAUUGGGAGGAACACCAGUGGCGAAGGCGCCUUUCUGGACUGUGUCUGACGCUGAGAUGCGAAAGCCAGGGUAGCGAACGG